AGGAAAGAAGGAUUGGAGGGAGGUGUGAUUAAUUAGCAUCUUCAAAGUUUGCAUCUUUCCAGAGAGUGUCUGCUCAAUAAAGAAGGCAUGGCCAGGCAAAGCUCAUUAGGGAAGAGGAGGGGACCUCUCAGACCUCACUGGAAGAAGCUGCUUGGAGUGACCCCAUUUUCCCUUACCCCCUCCUGUGACCCCACAUAUGUGACCACAAACCUGCUUACACAGAGAUGAAGCCCCAUAGCAUUUCCACUUUUGGGUCUUUGACUGCGGCUCUCUCAUCACAUGAAUCACCCACUGACAUUCUCUCUCAUCAUAUGAAUCACCCACUGACAGCCCCAGGAACAGAUGAGGCUGUGAGAUUCUCAAAGAGAAAAAUGAGCUUAGAGCCCCAAACUCCUGGGGUUGGUCCCAUGUAAGCACGACACUAACAUGGUUCUUGGGCCCAAACUGCAGCAAAGUAAACAGAUGUGGGCUUAACAGCCUCCAGGAAUGGAGGAGGCAAGGGGAGAAGGGAUAAGCAGUUGUCAAAGGCAAGGAUGAGAGACAGAAGAGAGACAAGGGACCCUUGCUACCCACUGAUUUAAAGGGCCAGGUCCCAAACCCUAAGCACCCAUCAUGAGUCAUGAUCAUAAUCUCACACUAUCCUUAGAAAUGGACAGUAGCACCUGAACCACCAUUGAUGAAAGCCCAGAAAAGCUGGAUCCUUUAAAUAAUCAGCUCUUUGGGGUAAGGAAUGGAGGUUGCCAUGUAUUUUUAAUGGAUAGAGUAUACAACUGUUGAGUGCCUACUGUGUACUCUUGCUGCCAACACUUGAAAUGAAUAUUUUUAUCUUAUAUCUUAUACCUACAUGAAGGGAGAACUUCACACUAGACGCUCUAUUCACCAAAAUACUCCAUAGAAAUUUUUAGUAAAAGAGAAAAAGUUUAAUUUCCUGCUUACUAGAGAGGUAAGCAAAAUGCCAGUUCGUUUAAUUCUUGGGAUCGAUCAUCUUUCUAACAUACCUAAUUCCUUUUCUCUCAAUAAAUUACUACACUCAGAUAAACUAACAAGUUGUUGAUUUUUGAUGUUCUAUGCUUUCAUUAAUAUAGUGUGUUUAUUUAGUUCCUAGAAGUGCUUGGACACUAUAUAGACAUACACAGCAAGUACAAUGGUCAGUAAAACAUUCCAGCUCUGUCCUUCUGGAGCUCAGAGCCAUGGAAGGUGGCUUCAUGGUGAAGGCCACAGGCUCUGGGACCAGACAGCCAGGGUUCCCAUCUGCUACUUCCUAAGUGGGUGAUCUAGGGCAUGAUGCUUAAUCUCUCUAUGCCAUAUUUUUCUUAAGUGGAAAAUGCACAUAAUAACAGUACUGAGCUCAUGCAGUAUGGUAUGUAUUAACUGUGGUUGUGGUAAAGAGCCUAAAACUGUGCCAGAUACAUGGUGAGCAUUUAAUAAGUGUAAAUGAUUAUCAUCAGGUAGCAAGCUCUGAGGGUCGUUCCAAAUUAAUAACUGUACUGAACAGUGCAGAAUAUCCAGUUUAAAAGGGGAGGAGAUUACCCUGGAGAGUGCACUGACUCAAAAUUCUCCUUGCAUGUUGGGGUAGGCUGAACAAUGCCCCUCCAAAAGAUGGUCAUGUCUUAAUCCUUGGAAUCUGUGAAUGUCACUUUAUAUAUAGACAAAAAAACUUUGCAGAUAUGGUUAAGGAUCAUGAGGAGACUGUCCUGAGUUAGCCAGGUGGAUCUAAUAUAACCACAAGGGCCGUUAUAAGAGGCAAACAGAUCAGAGUCAGAAAUAGAAGAAGGGAUGUGACAGUGGAAGCAGAGGGAGAAAAGGUCAUGUGAUGUGGGGCUAUGAGCCAAGGGAUGUGGGUGGCCUCUAGAAGCUGGAAAAGGCAAGGAAGCCUACAGAUGGAAUUCAGCCCUAUAGAUACCUUGAUUUUAGCCCCUCAAGAUUCAUUUCAAACUUCUGAUCUCCAGAACUAUAAGAGAAGACAUUCAUGUUGUUAUAAGCCACAAAGUUUGCGGCAGCAAAUACAAAUGCAAAGGUGAAUAAGAAAGUAAUCUUAUUUCCUUUUACUAUAUCUCUUUCGAAAGGCAGCAUGAUAGAGUUGAAAGAGCACGGGGCCUGGUGUUUGAAAUCUGUUUCUACAAAUUACUUUGUGUCUUUAGAUAAGUUACUUAACCUCUCUGAGCCUCAUUGCUCCAUCUUGAAAAGGAAGAUAAACAUACUCAUUUCAAGUGAUGGCUGCAAAAGUAGGCCCUCAAUAGUCGUAUCACUCUUACCAUUAAAAAUAUUUGGCUCUCUCCACUCCUUCCCCCAAAGAGCUGACUAUUUAAGAAUCCAGCUUUUCUGAGCUUUGUUUAAUGGUGGUCACAGGCCACUGUCCAUUUAUAAGGAUUUGACUUCUCAUUGUUAUUUGAGUUUGGGACUGAAAGUUUAGAUCUAUAUUAUCAUUUGCCAGAGAUAAUAUUUUAAUUUGUUACUAUGUCCUGCUGAUACCUUAGCUCUACCCAACCUCGCUUCCCACCCCCUACUCAUGAGAAUCAAAGACCCCCUGGAUGACCACCUGUUCUCUGUUUUAAGCCACCUUGUCAUCAGCACACCAGUUCACCAUCUCCUCACUGGUAAAUUAGAGAAAUAUGUUCAGAAUCUUUCUUUCGUUGGCGACAGGGUCUUGCUCUGUUUCCCAGGCUGGAGUGCAGUGGCAUGGCCACAGGUCACUGCAGCCUCAAACUCCCCAGCUUAAGUGAUCCUCCCGUCUCAGCCUCCUGAGUAACUGGGACCACAGGUGUCUGCCACCAAGCCCAGCUAAUUUUUUAAUUUUUUGUAGGGACAGCAUCUCACUACAUUGCCAGGGCUGGUCUCAAACUCCUGGGCUCAAGCGAUCCACCUGCCUCAGCCUCUCAAAGUGCUAAGAUUAUAGGCAUGAGCCACCAUGCCCGGCCAACUUCAGAAUCUUAACCUGCCCUUGGAGAUAUUAUGAUGAUGACCAGUGUGAUGGCUACUGGGCACUGCACUAGAGCCUGUGUAAGAGGAUGGAGUCUUUUUAUCCCUCCCAUUCUUUUCCUGGGAGGGUGUUUCCAGGCUUAAUAUAAUAACAUGCUAGAAUUGAGUAACAGGAGGUAAUCAAUAUUAGAAAAAAAAAAACAUAAAAUUUCUUGUGUAGAUGUUCCACUCUUAGUCAAGGGAAAGUCUUCUCCUACAAUGCCCCUACCCCUUCUCCCUCUUUGCCCCCGACUCUAGCUGCAAAAUGGCCUUACAUGAGCUAAGGCUCUCAUCCUAGCCUAAAUGUCAAGGAAGAACGAGAUGGAACCAGUGGACCCAGAGGAUGAACUCUUAGUGGGGAGUGGGCAGAGGCAGAGAGGUGCGUCAUGGGGCUGCUGGGGGAGAAAGAAUAAAAGAGAUAGCUCAUGGCAGAGGGCCUCAGGGAUGUCCAUACCUGCGUGAGAAGGAGAGCUCCCUCUCACCCUUCCUCUAAACUCUGUCUCCGUGCAUGGUCAUGAAAUAGUAUGGUUUUCAUCCUGGUAAUGAAGUGCACUUUUCCAUCUUUGCAAAGGUUACCGGCAAAGCAAAGACACUGCCAGCAUGCACAUCAUUUCAUUUAAUCCUCACAAGAACCUGUGGAGAGGGUUAUGUCAUUCUCAUAACGUAGUUGAGGAUUGAUAUCCAAGGACCACUGUGUCCAAGAUAACCAGCUAGUCAGAGCCAGGAUCCACACCAGCUCAGCCCAGCUCCAAAGCUCAUGCUCUUUCCAGGCCUGGCCCCACCACUGCUGCUGAACCUUGCAGCCCUUCCCAUACCACCCCGCCCCCACCCAAUAACAUGGCCUCCAGAGCUGAAAGCAUUUCCAGGGCCUCUUCCAACAAGGCCCGAGAAACCCUGGGUGGUCUAGAAACCUUGAAGUGAACAUUGAGUUUUAUCCUGGAACAAAUGAAGAGCUGGAAGUAAAAGGUCCUUCACAAACUGGAAACAGCUGGGCCCAGCUGAGGAGUAAGAUCAAAAUCACCUCUCCAUGCUGCACCAUGCUUCAGGAAGAGGCGUAUCCAUCACAGUGUCUUGGAAGUAGGCCAGGGGUGUCUGCUGAGAAAGGGUGCCGCUGGUCUGCACAAGUGUGGGGAAGGGGGGACUCAAGGAUCCUGGGCAGCUGCUCAGGGGAAGCUAUGUUUAACAGCAAGGACUGCAGAAAUGCCCCUGGAGCUCUGUGGACAGCUGGAAACAAGGCCAAUUUGCAAACAUCCAGGGUCAUCCCUGCACACACAUGGAGAUAGAAGGCAAGGAAAGAAAUGGCUGUUCCUGGAGCACCUACAAUGUGUUGUAGGCGCUAAGCCAUGUGCUUUCACAGAUGCUGUCUGAGAUAGUCCCAGAGCUCUUCAGGGUCAAAAGCCCCUUCUUUCCCAGCCUCCACCAAGACUGAAGCACCCUCCACGACAGCCUGUUCUUGAGCCAAAGUUCAGUUCUGUCCUGUACUUUUUCUUUAAACUGAGCUGGACCACACCACCCAGAAGAGGCUAUUUUGUCCUGAACCUCCUAGGUUCAUAUUUAUGAUCUUUAGUACACAUAGGAAUCCCGCUUUCCUAGGUCUAGGCAGGGGGCUGAUGAUCUUUAGUACACAUAGGAAUCUUUAGUACAAAUCUUUAGUACACUACACAUAGGAAUCUUUAGUACACAUAGGAAUACCGCCUUUCAAAUCUUUAGUACACAUAGGAAUCUUUAGUACACAUAGGAAUCUUUAGUACACAUAGGAAUCCCACCUUCCUAGGUCUAGGCAGGGGGCUGAUGAUCUGCAUGUUUAACAAGUAUCCCCAGGUGAUGUGUUUAAGUGGGUUGUCCCCAGAGCACACUUUGAAAGCAUUUCUUCUUUUCUAGGCCAUUGUCUUAAAGCCACUUUUUUGGGACCAACACUAGCAUGUGGCCCUACUGCCCUCUGCCCUCAGAACUCCCUGCUUCUGCCCUGAUAUCCAGGCCAGCUUCCAGCAUCUUCAUUUCAAUAGCCCCUUGGUACAGCCUCCAUGCACAGAAAUGUGGGUUUUGUACCUCCCAGGUCACCUGACUAUAUUCCAUCAGCCAAGCCAUACACACUGACAGGUAUGCCUGCAGGAGGACCCUUUAUAAAUUUGUCUUGCCCCUGUGAAUUUCUCUUCUUGGCCUUCUGGAUCCCAGCUCUCCUCUCAACCCUCAGUGCUUUUCCCCUAGCCCACCCCACGCCCUCCUACUCCACCCUUGGCCCCAAAGAACUCCAUCAUCUGAGCUGACUCCUUGUCCCCUAAGACUACGUGGCAAGGGAGAGAGUCUUAAGGUCUCCAGAAGUUCUCAGGUGUCAUACACAAAUGCGGUCUGGCAGGAAGGAGAAAUUGAGCAAGUAAGUGCUUUUCAGAGUUUACAAAGGAAGUAGGCCAAAUGGCAGGAGAAAAUUCAAUGAUGAUGGAAAUCUGACAUGGAAGCCAAAAUUAGCCUUCUGGAAAAAGGAUGCUCCUUUAAGUUUCCAGUCUUAGCUUAAAGUUUUCUAUGGAUCAUGCAUCCUACUCCAUGCUAGAGCUGUGUUAGCUUGAAUGUGAAAUGAAUGUCUUAAAUAGGUUAUGGCUAAAGUGGAAAAAUGAAGAAAACCUGUGCCUUUCUCUAUGAUAUGCUUAAUUCUAGAGGUUAGGUUUUCAUACUCCGAGACAGAAUAAAAAACCUCUAAUCCAUUUCUCAGAGAUGCCUAGGAAGAAGAAGGCGAGGUGAAUUUGGUUGUAGAGAAUGGAGGGGCGAGAGCCCAGUGCAUGAAAUGAGCCAGUGUUUCAAGGGCUCAGUGAUGAACUUGGGCUUCGAAGAAAAGGACAUGACAGGAAGCCAGGUGAUAUGGACAGCACAAUCUGCCAUCGCUGGUCCUGUUAAGGGAGCACAGAUGCAGUAGAAGAUCAGAGUGUUGUGUUAUUCACUAACAAUAAUUAGCACAGAAUAAUGUUAGUGCAGAAAAAAAUGAUACCCCCCCAAAAAGAAAAUCAUCUUGCUCAGCCCCACAUUUUACAGAUUGGAAAACUGAGGCCCAAAAAGAAGGAACCUACCCAAAAACAUUGGCCGGGCUGGUCAUCUACAGCAAAGAUGAGAACAGCUGCCCAGUGAGCCCUGAUGCUCCCCAGCCCUGAGCAUCUCCCUUAACAGUAUCUGGCUUCUAAUUCAUCACGAGGCUUCAAGGGCUUCUGUGUUUGGCACAAAAGUGCAGCACUUUGACCUGCAAUAAAUCACUGCAGCUAAUGAUCUCCUUGCUCCUUGUGACUGUCUGUGGACAGCCUGUUCUCACUCACUCAUGCAGUAAGACAGCUGAGGCCACUGCUUGCCUUGAGGGAACCAAGAGAAAGGGGGCAUCAAAAGGAGGAAGCUAGAUUUAUAUUCUUUUCCCCUCUCCCUCACCUCCUGUUCCUUCCUUCCUUCCCUCCUUCCUACCUCCUUCUCUCCUCCCUUCCCUCUGUCCCUUUUUCCUUCUGCCCCUCCCUUCUUCCCUCCUUUUUUCCUGUGUCACACAAAUAUGACACUAUAAACAAACAAUUUCUAUGUUAAACCCCGAUGCCACAACCUUGAUCAUUUGGAACAGCCCCCUAAUAUGCUCACUUCAAGGUUGGAGUCUUAUGCAGUGUGGAAGCACUUGGAGGCAAGCUUGGCCAUUAUCUCCUGCCACACAGGGGACUGCAAAGAUGCCCAUGACCUGGUCCCCAGGCCCUCCAACCUGGAGGUUUCUGCUGCUUCGGGGCCAAGCUUUGGUCACAGGAAUCCUUUGUCAGGCUGCCUCAGAUCCCAUCUGAAUUGACGACCACCCAGCACCCUUUCCUGUGGCUCUUGCCAGCUCCCUAGUAUUCAGUUCCCUGAAUCUUCACUGCUGUGGAACCUACAGAUUCCGCUUGAUUCCCCCAACCUGAGGGAAUCUCAUGCUGGCUUUAGGGUCUAAGUCAAGCACUUUCAUUGCUUCUCAUAGACAUUUUGUCCAUUUGUGAGACAUGGCUUCUUCUAAGGACUCAGGCCUAAACCAUUUACCUCUCUGUGCUUCAGUUUCCUCUUCUAUAAAAAUAACUACCUACUCAUAAGAUUGUUAAAACGAUUAAAUAACUUAGUAAAUGUAACUUAUUUAGAACAUUGGCUAUCAUAUAGAAAAUACCAUAUAAUCAAUUACUAUUAUAAUGAAUGAUGUGUUGCAGCUGCCAAAACAAAAGUAAUCAUUCUUUAGGCUGCAUUAAUGGAAAUAUAAUAAGUAUAAUAGUGGAGGUGAUAGUCCUUGUAUAAUCGCCACUAAUGAGACCACACACAGUAUAUCUCAAUUUCAGAGGAACUAUUUUAAGAGAAAUUUACAUAAACUGAAGAGUAUUCAAAGGAGAUGGACCCAAAUGGUGUAGAAGAGUAACACCUUCUUAUAUGAAAGGGGGCUGUAUUAGUUCAUUCUCAUGCUGCUAAUAAAGACAUACCUGAGACUGGGUAAUUUAUAAAGGAAAGAGGUUUAAUUGACUCACAAUUCAGCAUGGCUGGGGAGGCCUCAGGAAACUUACAAUCAUGCCAGAAGGGGAAGCAAACACGUCCUUCUUCCUUCUUCACAUGGCAGCAGCAGGAGAAGUGCCAAGCAUCAGAUCUCAUGAGAAUUCACUCACUAUCACGAGAACAGCAUGAAGGUAACCACCCCCAGGAUUAAAUUCCCUCCGACUGGGUACCUCCCAUGACACAUGGGGAUUAUGGGAACUAUAAUUCAAGAUGAGAUUUGGGUGGGGACACAACCAAACCAUAUCAAGGGCUGAAGAUCAGAGAUGGUUAAUUGGAUGCAGAGAAAUGUGGAGUGAAGGGGAGGAGUAGAAGAGAGGGGGCAUAGAAUUUGUCUUCAAAUAUAGGAAGGGCUAUUUUGCCAUCUUCAUCUUUGUGUCCCCAGGUCCUGGUAGGAUGCUUGGCACUAAGGUCAUGCUUAAUAAAUUUUAUUGGUUCUACUUGGUUGAAAAGUCAAUCAGGUAAUCAAUCAAUCAAUAUAUUCAUAUGGAUGAACAGUGACCUGAUAUUGGAAAUUAUAGGGAAAUAAUAGUAAUUAACAUGAAGAAAUUUUAAAAAUAAAUUUAAAGAUAGGAAGGGAAUUCCCUUGCCCUUGGAAUGAUGACUCUUAGUGUCUGUUUAGGAAGGUGAUGCUGCUGGAGGAGGGGCUCAGGUGUAGAGGAAUUGAAACUGGUUGAUGUGGAUGCAUUCCAGAUUUUCUAUUUCUCAGACCAAUACAAAUUUUCUCCACCAAAAAAAGUCAGAGGAAUUACAGAGGGUUGCCAACUUUUUGCCAACAAUGGAUAUUACCACUAAUUCAAUUAUCAUCCACUAUUGCAGUCAUUCUGCAAAAACAAAAAUCAAAAAAAGCACAUUUUAACAGAAGGGAAGAAAAGGAAAAACAUGAUCUCAGAAGAAAGGAAAUGCUUUAAAGUCAUAACCUUGGCUUUCCAAACAUCACUCUCUUUUCCUCACUUUUCUGUAAAGCAGUGAAAAUAUCGCCGAGCAGCACCAGUUUGAGGGUCUGUAUUUGAGAACUACUGAAUUCAAUGACUUUAAAGUCCUUUCCUGGCCCAGAUACUUGCCAUUUCCAGUCCAAAAAUGGAGCCAGGCACUUAGCAGGCAUUCAGUGUAUAUCUGUGGAAGGAAUGAUGGAAUCACUUGCAGGCAUUUGAUUUUAGGCAACAUUCCUCAUCCUCAAGAUGGAAACCCCAUGCUACAAGCACAGAAGCAACUCCCCAAAAAGUUCAUGGAGGAAAAAUAUCAGUUAAAACUCAUGAGGACAGAAGAGAGGCUACAUUGCUCUGCUCCAGCUGACCUUUGGAAAGCCAUAUUCUCUCUACCUCCUGUAUUUCCCCCACCAUUAAUGAACAUCCUACUAUUUCCAUAGUAUUCAGCUGUCAAUAGGGCACUUGUGUGCAUUACACCAUUUGUUCAUUUAUUAAACGUUUAUGGAGCAUUCACUGUGUACCAGGCACUGUGCUAGGUUCUGGAAAAUAGAGAAUAUUUAAUAAUAAAGUGUUCUCUCUCCUCCAGACAUGGUGGUACCCCCAUUCUGUGCUCCCCAGCCAUCAUUACCUGUCACUUCCUCUCACGGCACUGUAAGCUUCUCCACAGCAGGGGUUGCAUCUAUUUAACUCUGGAUGCCCAGUGCCUGGAAGGAUGAAGUGAUCAGAUGGAAAGAACCAAAACAAGCUCUGCCAUAUUCUCAGCCUGGAUAGAAAAAAAAAAAAAAAGCCCAGAUAAGUAAUGUGGCUGGUGCUGAUCAGGCAUCUAAAAAAUAUUUGAUUGGAUAAGCCCUGAAUGCAAGGAUGGCUGCACAAUCUGCAGGGCCCAAUAGGAAAUGAAAAUAUAGAGCCUCUUGUUCAAAAUGCAGGGAAAACAUGCCCUCACAGGAACUAAAAUAUGAAGAUUUUUUUCUUCCUUUCAUGGUUUCUUUUUCAGUUAGGCAUGGUGAGGGUUUUGUAUUUGUUACUCAAUAUCAUUCUAAGGAAAAAAUGUAAGUACCAUUAAUUUUACUGUUCUUCUUUAUAUUGUGCCAUGCCAGUUUUAAAUGCAAAUAUAAGAGCAUUUAACUCA
rnacentral:lncRNA from 10 species